rnacentral:misc_RNA from 1 species
GAUGAAGAACGCAGCGAAAUGCGAUAAGUAAUGUGAAUUGCAGAAUUCAGUGAAUCAUCGAAUCUUUGAACGCACAUUGCGCCCCCCAGUAUUCUGGCGGGCAUGCCUGUUCGAGCGUCAUUUCAACCAUCAAGCCCUGCUUGUGUUGGGGUCCUGCGGCUGCCCGCAGGCCCUGAAAACCAGUGGCGGGCUCGCUAGUCACACCGAGCGCAGUAGCACAUCUCGCUCAGGGCGUGCGGCGGGCUCCAGCCGUUAAAGCACCCACCUUUCGCAAGGUUGACCUCGGAUCAGGUAGGAAUACCCGCUGAACUUAAGCAUAUCAUAAGCGGAGGA